rnacentral:tRNA from 1 species
GUCCCCGUAGCUCAGCUGGAUAGAGCGUACCCCUCCUAAGGGUAAGGCCACUGGUUCGACUCCAGUCGGGGACGCCA